UACGUAGGGAGCAAGCGUUGUUCGGAUUUACUGGGCGUAAAGCGCACGUAGGCGGCUUUCUAAGUCGGGGGUGAAAUCCUGGAGCUCAACUCCAGAACUGCCUUCGAUACUGGAGAGCUUGAGUCCGGGAGAGGUGAGUGGAACUGCGAGUGUAGAGGUGAAAUUCGUAGAUAUUCGCAAGAACACCAGUGGCGAAGGCGGCUCACUGGCCCGGUACUGACGCUGAGGUGCGAAAGCGUGGGGAGCAAACAGG
rnacentral:rRNA from 1 species